rnacentral:rRNA from 1 species
CUGCUGCCUCCCGUAGGAGUCUGGUCCGUGUCUCAGUACCAGUGUGGGGGACCUUCCUCUCAGAACCCCUACGCAUCGUCGCCUUGGUGGGCCGUUACCCCGCCAACAAGCUAAUGCGACGCAUGACCAUCCGUAGCCGGAAUCGCUUCCUUUAAACCCACAGAGAUGCCUCCAUGGGUUGUUACGCGGUAUUAGACGGAAUUUCUUCCGCUUACUCCCCCUGCUACGGGCAGGUUUCAUACGUGUUACUCACCGUGCGCCGGUCGCCGGG